GAUGAAGAACUUUAGCGAAAUGCGAUAAGUAAUGUGAAUUGCAGAAUUCAGUGAAUCAUCGAAUCUUUGAACGCAUCUUGCGCUCCUUGGUAUUCUGAGGAGCAUGCCUGUUUGAGUGUCAUUAAAUUCUCAACCGCACUGACUUUGAAUUGGUGUGGCUUGGAUUUGGGGGGAAAAUUGUUGUGGGCUUUUUUGUAUAGUCUGCUCCCCUGAAAUUGAUUAGCGGUACCUUUGUGGAACUGUCUACAGGUGUGAUAAUUAUCUACAUCCUAGACAUCUGCUGGAAUGCUGCUUUCUAAACCUUACUUGUAUUGACAAUCUUGACCUCAAAUCAGGUAGGACUACCCGCUGAACUUAAGCAUAUCAAUAAGCGGAGGA
rnacentral:misc_RNA from 1 species